AGCCUCAGUCUAGCCCAACCGCCCAUAAAAUCAGUGAACCAUCAAAAAUACACUACACCCCAAAACUAAAACAUUUUUCUAACUUAGUAUAGGCGAUAGAAAAGAAACCCCGCAUUGGCGCGAUAGAGAUUUUGGUACCGUAAGGGAAAGAUGAAAUAGCAAUGAAAAAUCAAAGCAACGAGCAGCAAAGAUAAACCCUUGUACCUCUUGCAUCAUGGUUUAGCAAGAACAACCAAGCAAAACGAAUUUAAGCUUGCCCCCCCGAAACCUAAGCGAGCUACUUACGAGCAGCUAUAUCUGAGCGAACCCGUCUCUGUUGCAAAAGAGUGGGAUGACUCGUUAGUAGAGGUGAAAAGCCAAUCGAGCUAGGUGAUAGCUGGUUGCCUGUGAAAUGAAUCUAAGUUACCCCCUUAAUUGCCCUCCACGGAUAUUUACCCCAACCUAUAUGUAGCAGAUUAAGAGUAAUUUAAAGGAGGUACAGCUCCUUUAAAAAAGAACACAACCUCCCCUAGCGGAUAAGUACCACCACUCCCCAACGUCCGUGGGCCUUCAAGCAGCCACCAACAAAGAGUGCGUCAAAGCUCUAUACCUAAAAAUCCAAAAACAACAUGACUCCCUUAUCCCUAACAGGCCAACCUAUGAUAAUAGGAGAAAUUCUGCUAAAAUAAGUAACUAGGGGCCUACCCUCUUAAGCGCAAGCUUAAAUACAUCACAUUAUUAACAGACCUCGCUAAUAUUGCAACUCCAACAAGGCCAAGUAUUAGAUAACACCUGUUAACCCAACUCAGGAGCGCCCGCUAGAAAGAUUAAAAUCUGUAAAAGGAACUAGGCAAACCCAGGGCCCGACUGUUUACCAAAAACAUAGCCUUCAGCCAUCCAAGUAUUGAAGGUGAUGCCUGCCCGGUGACAUAGUUUAACGGCCGCGGUAUCCUAACCGUGCGAAGGUAGCGCAAUCAAUUGUCUCAUAAAUCGAGACUUGUAUGAAUGGCUAAACGAGGUCCUAACUGUCUCUUACAGACAAUCAGUGAAAUUGAUCUUCCUGUGCAAAAGCAGGGAUAUGUACAUAAGACGAGAAGACCCUGUGGAACUUAAAAAUCAACGGCCACCGCACACAAUACCAAACCUACCAGGCUCACCAUCUUCACAAACAUUGGCCCGUAUUUUUCGGUUGGGGCGACCUUGGAGAAAAACAAAUCCUCCAAAAAUAAGACCACCCAUCUUAACUAAGAGCCACCCCUCAACGUACUAAUAGUAACCAGACCCAAUAUAAUUGAUCAAUGGACCAAGCUACCCCAGGGAUAACAGCGCAAUCUCCUUCAAGAGCCCAUAUCGACAAGGAGGUUUACGACCUCGAUGUUGGAUCAGGACACCCUAAUGGUGCAGCCGCUAUUAAGGGUUCGUUUGUUCAACGAUUAAUAGUCCUACGUGAUCUGAGUUCAGACCGGAGCAAUCCAGGUCGGUUUCUAUCUAUGACAUACCUUCCCUAGUACGAAAGGACCGAGAAGGUGAGGCCAAUACCACAAGCAUGCCUCCCCUUUAAGUAAUGCAUACAACUAAAUUACCAAAAGGGCCCCCACAACAACCCAAAUCCUAGAAAAGGACC
rnacentral:rRNA from 1 species